rnacentral:ncRNA from 2 species
AAUCAAACUACAUAGCACACUCGUAUAAACUAAGUAAUAUGGUCUGAGAGUCUCUACCUGGUUCCCAUCGGAAGAACCGGACUACGGGUUGAAGUAUUGUUCGG